rnacentral:rRNA from 1 species
UACGUAGGGGCCGAGCGUUGUCCGGAGUUAUUGGGCGUAAAGCGCGCGCAGGCGGCUUCGCGCGCCCGACGUGAAAGCCCCCGGCUUAACCGGGGAGAGUCGUUGGGGACGGCGGAGCUUGAGGGCGGGAGAGGUCGGUGGAAUUCCCGGUGUAGCGGUGAAAUGCGUAGAUAUCUGGAGGAAUACCGGUGGCGAAGGCGGCAUCCUGGACCGGCAUUGACGCUGAGGAGCGAAAGCCAGGGGAGCAAACGGG